GGCGAACGGCUGAGUAACACGUGGGCAACCUGCCCUUUGCACUGGGAUAGCCUCGGGAAACCGAGGUUAAUACCGGAUACUCCAUAUUUGUCGCAUGGCGAAUAUGGGAAAGCUCCGGCGGCAAAGGAUGGGCCCGCGGCCUGUUAGCUAGUUGGUGGGGUAGUAGCCUACCAAGGCAAUGAUGGGUAGCCGGGUUGAGAGACCGACCGGCCAGAUUGGGACUGAGACACGGCCCAGACUCCUACGGGAGGCAGCAGCC
rnacentral:rRNA from 1 species